GAGUGAGGAGGUCUAGCCACUGUGACUGCUGCUCCACUGAUCCUCAGCUGACUGGGCUGGUUAGGUGGGCCUCGCAUUCCUCCUCACAGCCCUGAGUGUCUUUCCCAAAGAUACAUACUGGAGGGAAGACGAUGACCUGCCCAGUAGAAGAAGACUGUUCUUACUCAAGUAAAAUAUCCAAGUAGCUGUGAUGUCCUACUAGAACCUCCAAACAAGCUCUCAAGGCAAGCAACAUGGUAAACAACACCACAGUGGGGCAGGGGGGCAUGCAGAAUCUGAUCCCUCUUCC
rnacentral:snRNA from 1 species